AGAGUUUGAUCCUGGCUCAGGAUGAACGCUGGCGGCGUGCUUAACACAUGCAAGUCGAACGAAGCACUUGAGAUUGAUUCUUCGGAUGACGUCUUUUGUGACUUAGUGGCGGACGGGUGAGUAACGCGUGGGUAACCUGCCUCACACAGGGGGAUAACAGUUAGAAAUGACUGCUAAUACCGCAUAACCCGAUAGGAUCGCAUGAUCCAGACGGAAAAGAUUUAUCGGUGUGAGAUGGACCCGCGUCUGAUUAGCUAGUUGGUGAGGUAACGGCCCACCAAGGCGACGAUCAGUAGCCGGCCUGAGAGGGUGAACGGCCACAUUGGGACUGAGACACGGCCCAAACUCCUACGGGAGGCAGCAGUGGGGAAUAUUGCACAAUGGGGGAAACCCUGAUGCAGCGACGCCGCGUGAGUGAAGAAGUAUUUCGGUAUGUAAGGCUCUAUCAGCAGGGAAGAAAAUGACGGUACCUGACUAAGAAGCCCCGGCUAACUACGUGCCAGCAGCCGCGGUAAUACGUAGGGGGCAAGCGUUAUCCGGAUUUACUGGGUGUAAAGGGAGCGUAGACGGUCAAGCAAGUCAGAAGUGAAAGGCUGGGGCUCAACCCCGGGACUGCUUUUGAAACUGUUUGACUGGAGUGCUGGAGAGGUAAGCGGAAUUCCUAGUGUAGUGGUGAAAUGCGUAGAUAUUAGGAGGAACACCAGUGGCGAAGGCGGCUUACUGGACAGUAACUGACGUUGAGGCUCGAAAGCGUGGGGAGCAAACAGGAUUAGAUACCCUGGUAGUCCACGCUGUAAACGAUGAAUACUAGGUGUGGGGGGACUGACCCCCUCCGUGCCGCAGUUAACACAAUAAGUAUUCACCUGGGGAGUACGGCCGCAAGGUUGAAACUCAAAGGAAUUGACGGGGGCCCGCACAAGCAGUGGAUUAUGUGGUUUAAUUCGAAGCAACGCGAAGAACCUUACCAGGGCUUGACAUCCAACUAACGAAGCAGAGAUGCAUUAGGUGCCCUUCGGGGAAAGUUGAGACAGGUGGUGCAUGGUUGUCGUCAGCUCGUGUCGUGAGAUGUUAGGUUAAGUCCCGCAACGAGCGCAACCCCUAUUGUUAGUUGCUACGCAAGAGCACUCUAGCGAGACUGCCGUUGACAAAACGGAGGAAGGUGGGGACGACGUCAAAUCAUCAUGCCCCUUAUAUCCUGGGCUACACACGUAAUACAAUGGCGGUCAACAGAGGGAAGCAAAGCCGCGAGGCAGAGCAAACCCCCAAAAGCCGUCCCAGUUCGGAUUGUAGGCUGCAACUCGCCUGCAUGAAGUCGGAAUCGCUAGUAAUCGCGGAUCAGCAUGACGCGGUGAAUACGUUCCCGGGCCUUGUACACACCGCCCGUCACACCAUGAGAGUCGGGAACACCCGAAGUCUGUAGCCUAACCAGCAAUGGAGGGCGCGGCCGAAGGUGGGUUCGAUAAUUGGGGUGAAGUCGUAACAAGGUA
rnacentral:rRNA from 1 species